AUACGGAGGGGACUAGCGUUGUUCGGAAUUACUGGGCGUAAAGCGCGCGUAGGCGGUUUAGAAAGUCAGAGGUGAAAUCCCAGGGCUCAACCCUGGAACUGCCUUUGAAACUAUUAAACUAGAGAUUGAGAGAGGUAAGUGGAAUUCCGAGUGUAGAGGUGAAAUUCGUAGAUAUUCGGAGGAACACCAGAGGCGAAGGCGACUUACUGGACCAAUACUGACGCUGAGGUGCGAAAGCGUGGGGAGCAAACAGAAUUAGAAACCCCAGUAGUCC
rnacentral:rRNA from 1 species